UUUGGAAAAAAAAAUUAUUUCACCGGGUUCGAAGUUUUAAACUCGUUAGAAUGCAACUAUUCGCGGCUUAGAAGUAUCAGAUGCUUUUCUUAUGAAUACAAAAGUCUGCUAGACUAGCGAUUCUUUGUUUGCUAGUUGUUAGUUGCUAAUAUUGGGUUGACUAGGAGACCACGAAAGUGCAAAGAAAUGUCUUCAAUAAUUCCCUUCCUCUUUAAAGCUGGAUAUAUGAACUUGAAAUCAAAUUAUAUCUCGGAAAAAAAACCACAAGAAUGGAGAAAAUGGUUUCGAAAUUGGUGUUUAAAAUGACUUUGCAGAUGUUAAUGUUUCAGUUAGCAAAAGCAGCAGCACCUGUAGCGAAGUUUGGUUGUCCGGAUCGAUGCGGAGACAUUACCAUUCCUUACCCUUUUGGAACUGGAAAAGACUGCUACAAGGACGAAUGGUUCGCAGUUGAAUGCAACAAAACCACCAAUCCUCCUAGAGCUUUUAUAAGUCGAAUCAAAAUGGAGGUGAUGAAUAUUUCAGUUGAAACAGGAUUGGCUACCGUCAAAAGUCCAGUAAUAUCCUUCAAUUGUACUGGCAGGGAAGAUGGUGGAUCUCUGGAUCUCACUGGAUCUCCCUUUGUUUUCUCCGAUUCCUGGAAUGUGUUCAUUGCAGGAGGUUGUGAUACUCGAGCUUUCAUGAGCGGGAUUGAGCCGCAAGUCCUCGGUUGCGUGCCUACAUGUGGUAACCAGCGGAGUAACGUUAGCUUGCAAGAAAAUAAUGUGUUCAGGUCGAAAUUGCUGUCAGGCUUCAAUCCCUUCACUCCUUCAGGUUUUCAAACCGAGAUUAGAUCCUACUAACGUUGAUCAAGGAGCAUGCAAGCUAGCCGUUUUGGUGAAUGAGACAUGGUUUGCAUCGAAUAUAAGUGAUCCAUUCGCACUGCUGUCUAUAGAUUACGUUCCAGCGAUCUUGGGCUGGGUGAUGAACGUGAAUGUUUCUUAUAUUUCCUUUUAUUGCCAAAGAAAUAACAAUGAAUCCUUAAUAUCUGAAUGUGCGUGUUGGCCUGGAUUUGAGGGUAACCCUUACCUUGAACUUGGUUGCAAAGGUAAAUAUUGAUCUAACUUUUUUCUUGAUUUAUUUAUUAUUUUUAUUCAAGCAAUAGUUUUUUUUGUGUGUGUUUAUGUAAUCAAAUUUAAUGAUGGUAAGUGUCAGAUUAAAAUAAAAUGUUAAUUAACGAUGGCAAAUACAUGAUUGGUUUAGAAUCAGGAAGUAGUUUAGUAUUUUAAUACUGGCGUGUUAGUUUCAAAAUAAUUUUUUAAUUUAUUCCGGUUUGAAUUAAUUACUAUUAGCUAGAUAUUUUUUAACUGUGGAACCUAAAUUAAUAAAAAUUAAUUACUUGGCAACUGACAUGGUGAUUAUUUUUUAUUUGGUUCAAGAGGUGGCCCUCCUCCUCCAUCUCCAAAUUUUAAUAUCUAUUAAUUUCAUUAUUUUUGCUUUUUUAUUUUAUUAGAUGUUGAUGAAUGCAAGACCCCAGAGAAAAAUACGUGCCGAGGGAUGCUCAAAUGCGUGAAUACACGUGGAGGAUUCAGAUGCGCGAUAAAUAAAAUUUAUAUAAUUAUCAUAGGUACACAGGUUUCUGAUUUAUUCCUUUCGACCUGUUUAAUGCCUGUCACUAAUGUUCAUUUUCAGCCUUAUAGUUUUUAUGAAAUGUUAUAUUGGUCCUCAUACAAUGAGCAUUCACUAAUAUAUGGCUUGAUAUAAACAGAGAAAUGAUUAAAUGAAUAAUUAUACAUAAUUAAUCUAACAUGCUACUAUUCAGCAGUCAUAUAUGUGAGCACAGAUGUCAACAUAUUAAUUAAGAUUUAUGCGUUGCUGUAAAUAAUGCAGUUGUAGGAUCAGUCAUCUUUAUAUUGGUACUGCUGUUUGGCCUUUGGAGGCUUUAUAAACUUAUAAAGAAGAGGCAGAACAAGGAACUCAAAAAGAAAUUCUUCAAACGUAACGGUGGGCUAUUGUUACAGCAACAAUUAUCCACUAGUGAUGGUAGCGUUCAGAAAACAAAAAUAUACAGUUCCAAGGAGUUGGAAGUAGCCACCGAUGGUUUUAAUGUGAACAGAAUACUUGGAGAAGGUGGUCAAGGCACUGUUUACAAGGGAAUGUUAACAGAUGGAAGAAUUAUUGCUGUUAAAAAGUCCAAAGUCGUUGAUGAAGAAAAUCUCGAAGAAUUUAUUAACGAGGUCGUCAUUCUCUCACAAAUGAACCACAGAAAUGUGGUUAAGCUGCUAGGUUGUUGCUUGGAGACUCAAGUUCCUAUACUAGUAUACGAAUUCAUUUCCAAUGGAAAUCUUUACAAGUAUAUCCAUGUUCAAAAUGAUGACUUCUUGUUAUCUUGGGAAAUGCGAUUACGGAUUGCCAUUGAGGUUGCGGGAGCCCUUUCUUAUCUACACUCGGCAGCAUCAAUUCCGAUUUAUCACCGUGAUAUCAAGUCUACAAACAUACUCCUAGACGAGAAAUAUAGAGCCACAAUAUCAGAUUUUGGAUCUUCAAGAUCCAUUGCCAUCGAUCAAACUCACUUGACCACUCAUGUGCAGGGUACUUUUGGCUACUUGGAUCCAGAGUACUUCCAGUCUAGUCAAUUUACAGAAAAAAGUGAUGUUUAUAGCUUUGGAGUGGUUCUGGUUGAGCUUUUAAGCGGAAAAAAACCGAUAUUUUCCGCUAGCCCAACAGAAAGUAGAAGUUUAGCCACACAUUUUAUCAUGUUGAUGGAAGAUAACAGGUUGUUUGAUAUUCUUGAUGCUAGAGUCAAAGAGCAUUGCCAUAACGAAGAAGUUGUUGCUGUCGGCAAUCUUGCAAGAAAAUGCUUGAAUUUGAAUGGGAAAAAUCGGCCAACAAUGAAAGAAGUAACCACAGAGUUAGAGAGGGUAAUUCAAAAGGGAUCAAAUGUUCAACAAGACAGUCAAGAGAAUGAAAGUAUCAUGGCUGAUCUCAGUAUGCAAUACAUGGGAUGCAUUUCCGACAUCAAUAAUGACUUGUGAUUUUAAUAAUUCUUCAUCAUCAGACGUUGAUCUUUUGAUUAUCAAACAAUUAAUAUGUUUUUCGUAUUAAUUACCAAAUAGAAUGUUGGCUUGUGUGUUAUGAUUUUCUUUUGUUUAGAAGUUGUUGAAUGAACUUAGAAUCAUGUAUUAUAUCGUUGUGUUGUAUUAAUAAGAUGAUAGGGAUCCUCCACUGCUCCUAUGUAUGGAAAUGUUGGUGCAAGAUUUAUUAAAUGGUUGAUUUUUCAAUGGUGUAUGCCGACGAGUACUAUUGUAGACGUGCCAGUACUUGAGUGGAAAUAUUUGGUUAAAGGAAAAUCGCUGCGCAGAGCCAUUUUCAGCUUGGCUUUUGGUGUUUAUAUCAUGGGGUCUUUGGUUAGCUACAGACAAGACGGUGUUCUUGGGAUAUUCUACUGAUUGAGAUACUGUCUUUGUGCUGGUUCUUCAUCGCCAGACACUUUAUUUUAAGGUAAAAUGGUAGUACGAUGGAUAAUAUUAUUUUAAGAAUAGAAUGUAUUCUCCACUUCUAUGAUUUUUUUAGUUAAUCAGUUGAUUAGUUCUUAUUAGACAGUAGAAAUUUAGUGAAUUGAAGAAAAAAAAUUCCAUACAAUUCUAUGAAUUAAAUGUCUUCUCUUCUCUUUUUUGAAGAUUCAGACCAAAAAAGUACUACCUGACAAAUGUAUCCUCUAAAGGGGGUGGUUUAAACUGCCUAAUUUACAUAAAAUACUUGAAUUCGAAAUUUAAAGAUAUAUAGAAGCUGGGCCUCUGCAGUUUGGUUAAUUUAUUAAUGCGGGUUGGAUUUAUUUUUUUUUAUAAAUAAAACUGAAUAAUUAUUAAUGCGGGUUGUGAAACUUUCAUCCAUAAGUUUUGGAGCCUUGAUAAGUAAACCAAGAGUCUUCCUGUCUGUAUUUGAUAGACCUGUCAACUGAAGAAAGAAAGAAAAAAACUAAAUUCAAUCCUAUAUUUGCAUUACGAACAAAAAACAGUAGCCUUUAAGAAAUAGUAGUAUCAAUACCAAUACUAGUAUUCCAGUUAUGAGAAUGACAAAAAAUUAAAAGUGCUAUUAAUUUCUUGAUCGCAAUUGCUAAAGAGGCAGCCUCCAAUUACUCAAUAUUUUCCACAAGUACAAAUUCAAAUUUAUGUAGGCCCGAGCAUUCUUUCACAAAACAAACCCCUUCCCCCUUCAUAUGUUUUUAUCCCUUUCUGGAAGAAAGAAAAUAUUGUAAACUAACAAGUUAAACCAUCAACUUAUGUUCACAACUAAGUUACUAAGAUAUCAGAGAGAUCAACGCCAAUGGGAAGAGAAAGUAGACGACCUCAGCAUCCAGAGAAACAGAAGCAUAUCGACAGAGUUGCUUUUGUAGACUCAAACUGCGCGCUACAGUGUUCUAUGUGUACCUAAGAAAAUUAGAUGAAAGACGUCAUAAGCGGAAUGAAAUUAUUAGAAACCCUUCCAUGCAUUAAGGUGAUAAUAUGCACACAAUUUGACUUUUUUGAUAGGAAACUAGUACAAAGGUGUCCAACAAAGUGUUUUACACGCCAGUUGACAACAAAAGGAAAACUUUUCCAGAGGAAGCUAAAUAACAUGGUGCAGUAUUCACCAACAUGAGGGAGGAAAGCAUGAAUUCACCAAUUCAAAACUCUUGGCAUGCACUCCGAAGAAGUUUUUGCAUGUUGAGUCAAAUGCUAAAGAUGAAAUUAAAUGUAACCAUACAAAUAAAGAGUAAAUAUCAACCAGGCUUUGGCAAAUUCCUAGACGUUCUGAUAUAUUCUUCUCACUCUGAUAUAUUUUUUUAUAUAUUUUCUCCCAACAUUUUUUUAUUUUUUGUAUUUUUUCUUUUCUGUUUUUUUUUUGCUUAUGUGAGGCCCCAAAAUAAAUAACAGCUGGCCAUGAGAGGUUUUGGUGUCGGGUUGAAUGGGAAAACUAUGGAGAUGGAGUUGUGUUUUUUGUGUACAGGAAGCUCUGUAUUAGAUGAAUAGGAGCUCUGUUUUUGGUUCCUCCUGGUUGAUGAAGGCUCCCCAUUUCCUGCCUUUGUUCGUAUCUUUUUAUUGUAGAGCAAAGGUUGGAAUUAACGUAAUUUAGCAUAAUUUCUAGGACUUGAUUCUUGGAGACUUGAUUGAAGAUUUGGGCCGCAAUUAUGAGAUUGCAAUCUGGUUUAAUUGCUUAAGAUCUUCUGGAGAUUGCAAUCUCUGGCUUAAUUGCUUGGGAUUGCAAUGAAAAAUCUAAAAUUAAUCGUUGGAUUUUGGGGUUUUAUUGGACUAAAAAUGAAUCAAUUAAAAAUAAUUGGAUUCUAAUUGAGUUAACUUGGACUAAAUUGAAUCAAACUAAUUCAAUUAGACUGCUAUGAUUGAAAUGAAUUAAAAUAAAAAUCCAGACAAACAUUCUUUAUUCUCAUUAUAGUCCUUUGCUUUUGAAUUGUUUCAAUUUGCUUUAAAUCACCUUUUUCAAUUCGAGUGACAUACUAUAGCAGGACAUGCCAGCUGCCUGCGUUUUCUUCAGGCAACCCAGUUUCUUUGUAUUUUUUUUUAAAAUUAUUAUUUUUUGUUGGGCUUUUCAAACAUCAAUUUGUAUCCUGUACUUGGUUUUGGUCAAUUGCAUCCAAUUUGGCUGAAAUGUGAUUGAAUCCUAAUGAGUUGUAAAAAAAAAAAUAUUUCAUGUCUGUACAAGUAAGAAAGGACUUGAUUCAGUAUUUAAUGCAUGCCUUUUGAAAGAUGUUAGGAUUUAGUAUCAUGCUCACGCUUCGUCCGGGCCAGACUAUUUUUUUUUUAAUUUCAAAAAACAAUGUUUCAGCUCUUUAAGCAUGUUUUAAAAUAAAUAAUUGGAAAAUCUAAAAUUCAUCGUUGGAUUUUAGGGUUUAAUUGGACUCAAAAUAAAUCAAUUAAAAAUAUUUGGAUUCAAAUUGAGUUAACUUAGGACUAAAUUGAAUCAAACUAAUUCAAUUAGACUGGUAUGAUUGAAAUGAAUUAAAAUAAAAACCUGACAAACAUUCUUUAUUCUCAUUGUAGUCCUUGGAUUUUGAAUUAUUUCAAUUUGCUUUAAAUCACCUUUUUCUUUCCCCAAUUAAAUUAAUUGAGACCUGCAAAUCCAUCAUUGGCUCCUAAAAUUAAGCAAUUUUAAUCAAUUUAACUCUCACUUUUGAUAUUCUUUUUCUUCAAUUAAUUCCUUCAUCGAUUUAUAAUUUAGCUAUUUAUUUCAAAAUCAUCCUUGAACAUAAAAUUUUGUCACCUUUUAAUCAAAUUAAGCCAUUUUCUUUUUUAAUUCAAACCUUGUUUUUGCCUAUGAUGCUUGAUUAUCGGUCUAAAUUCAAAUCCUAGCUAUUUUUUUAUAAUUUUAAAAAAAUUUCUUUAUUUUUGAAUUUUGUAUUUUUUUAUGAUUUUCAAGAUGUUUUGACACAAAAUUAAAUAAAAAGGAAGAAAAUAAUAAAAUAAUUAAAAUAGCUAAAAUUAUUGAAAAUAUGUAAUUUUUGAAUUUUUCUAAUUUUUUUCCAAAUAUAUACAAAAAUAGGGUUAAAUUAGGUUUCAACAUUGGGCAUUGAGAUGAAAAAAAAGAAAGAACUAUUGCAAUAUUAAUAAAAAGCAUGAAGAGAUAAAUAAAAACUAUUUAAUGGAUACAGAAAAAGCCUUCAAGCUAGAAAAGAGAAUCGAACUUCAACAUAUUACUUUUCUUAGAAAAAAAAAGCAAAAACAAAAGUUGGAAAAAGUUAUUUUAAAAAAAAACUUAAUGAUGAGAAAAAAAGAAAAAGCCCAUGAAAAAUACAUCACAACUAUUAAAUCAUCAAAGCCCACUUGUAACGUUAAUAAAUAAUGGUCAACAAUCACAAUGUGUUAGAUAAAACUCUACAUGGAAGAGUAAUUAUGAGGUAAUUGAAAUUGAUGAAUUUAACACUCAUUUUUCUCUAUUUGAAUGUUAUGACUUGUGAAUUUUGAAGAUGUCAUAAAAGAAAUAAAGUGAUAAAAGGCUAUGAAUGAUGAAAUUGAUGAAGACAUAAGAGUUAAUAGAGCUUUCAAAAAAACAAAAGACCAUAUGUGUAAAAUGAAUGCCGAGAUAUGAUUAAAGAAAAAUUCUUCAUUGUUAAAUUGAGUAUGAGGGAUUAAUAGAUAAAAUCCUAGAUAAUGUAAAAAUACAUACUUGAUUAAAAAAAUAUUUGUAUUAGUAACUGCUAGAAAUGGUAAAAACAAGCUCGUAAUUACCUGUGCCUUUUGUGAAUAGCUGUGAAGAUAACACUUCAAAAGUAUAGAUGAAAACAUUUCAAGAGUAUUAGGUGUGAAUUGAUCACACUUCUUAGAAACUUUUCUUUUCUUUCUUGGAGAAAAAGUUCCAUAUUAAUUUCCUUUCCCCUUUUUAUUUUAUUUUAUUUUCUUUGGGACAUGCAUGAAAGUGAACAUUAAUUCAACAUCUUGGACUACAGGGCGAUUGGUGGGCUGUGUUAAGUGCGAAAAAAAAAAAAAUACUCUUCCAAAUCAAUAAAUUGCAGGGAACUUUCUGGGUACAAUACCUAAAUAAAAGUGAAAGCAAUUGGUUCAUAAUUUAAAACUGUAUCAUACACAUGACCAGUUUGAUUAUUGAUUAAUUUCUGAUAGAAAGUUCAUUCCAAGUACUUCAUUAUCUACUGGAUAUUCCACAUUAUAAAUAAAAAAAGUUAUGGCCCUCAAGAAAUUGGCGACUUUUCUUCUCCUGUUUUAUUCAUAGAAUCGUCUUCUGAACGUUGUCUUUCUAUAAUUGUUUUUUAUUUUUUUAUAAGAGUUCAAGGAAAUUCAAGGAUUAUUUUUAUAAGAGUUCAAAGAGAACAGUUCCCAUCAUUCUCUAUAGUCAUAGACCAAUCAUCUUCGUAAUGGUUAGACAAAAGUCAUCAUCACUCAAUUGAUAAACAUUUUGGUAGUCCUGUGGCAUUUAUUAUAGCUGGUCAAGCUUGGACGGUGGAAAGAAACAUCCUAACUCUUAAUUUUACAAAUACUUGAGUUACAAAAAUAUGAGUGCAUGGCUCUAAAGGCCACCGGUAAAUAGAAUUUCUUGUUGAAUUUGUGGAAAAUGAUUUGGACACUGAGUUUACUGGUACUCUUCUCUGUCACAAUCAGUGAUUUUUUCUUGAAAUAUAGUUAAUCCUAGCUAGUUCAAUCAAAUAAAGAUCAUACCGCUCUCUCUCUCACUCUCUACUUCCAUUAUUGAGCUCAAAUAAAUGGUUGUCAGUUGUUUGCAACAAAUCUACUUUGACCAAUUCAAUGAUUUGAAUAAUGGCCAGGAUUAGUUUUUAAAAAACCAAAAAUCAAGAAAAAAGACUUUUUAAGGAAUUUUUGUGGGAAGGAUUUAGUGUUGAUUAAUUAGUUAAUCACUUUAUUUUAGCAAUUUGAUUCAUGUAAAUCAAUGCAGCUGGUAGAAGAUGUCCGUAAAAAAUCUUAUUUGGUAUACACAAACUUUUAAAUGUCUACGAAAAUAUUUUAUUAGAAAGAGAAGGUAAAAUGAUAUUAUUAUAUUAUAGUUUGUGCACUAUUGACAAAUUUCAACGUAGAAGUUACUACUCUUGGUAGCUGCUGCUUGGAAAGUUAUUUGUUUUUUAUAUAAAUAAAACUGAAUAAUUAUUAAAUUACAGUUUGUGCACUAUUGACAAAUUCAAUGUAGAAGUUUUUUUUUUUUUAUUAACGUGAAUGUCUGGUACAAUUUGCGUGUACUUUAAUUAAUUAAACAGGUCUUGAAAUUAAUGAACAUGUAAGUUUCCAGUGGUUCUAAGAUUUGUAGGACUUGAACUGAUGAUUUUUGGUAAGCAAAAUCUAGAGGCAGACUACGUUUUAAUUUGUAUCCAAAUUUUUGUUAAUAUUUUAAGAUUUUCCUAGAAGUGGAUAUUUUUAAAAAAAUAUAAGCUCUGGAUACCGUGUGAUUGAUUUUUGCUUGGAAUCUUCAUAGAAAGUUCGCACGUGUGCGGCAUCGCGACGAUCCGACAAAUAUGGGGAGACAAUGAAUUCUUGUCUCUUAUCAGUGAAAAAAUAGAAUGGGAGUUGCCACCUAGUUUUUGGUUACUAGGAACCCUAACUGGUCUUAGAGAUCAGGUACGGGGACUGAUUGCAUAAAGGGAAGGUAUUAACACCCCAAAUACGCCCUACCUAAGGUAAGUUGCAUUGUUUUAUUAUCUGAUAAAAAUUUAAGGUCUUGUCAUGUUUUUUAAUUGUUGGUCCGUCUAUGGUUCAAGAAAAGCCAUAGACAAAAUGAAGUGAUCAAAAUCUAAGGUCUUUUGAUAAAAAAAUAAUAUAUGAAUAACAUAAUGUUAAAGGAUGAAGUGAGAAAAAAAAUUGAAAAAUGACAAAAAAAAUAAUAUAACUUGAGUUAGCAUGACAAAUUCGUGAUCUGGGUCGUGAUGUUGAGCCAUCCUUAUAGAAAGCAUAUAAAGAAAAUAAAAAAAAUUAAUUUUCAACAAACUCAAUAUUAACGGAUGAAAUUAAAAAAAAAAUUGGUGUAAAAAAAUAUAUUUUUUUAAAAAAAUCAAUGUCAAUUUGAGUUAAUAUUGCAUACUCUUGAUCUAGGUUAUGAGACCGCAACAACUGUAUUGGAAAAAAAAACAUUAUGAAGCACAAUUUUCAACAAUUAAAUUUUGAAGGAUAUUUUUUUUAAAAAAAAUCAAUUUUAAAAAAUAAUCAAAAGCAAGAAAAAUCAAUUAAAAGAAUGAGGACCGGAUAUGAUAUAAAAAUAAGAUGAAAUAAAAUGAUGUAAAAGGCCUAGGCUAAUGGGAGUUAGCAUGUUUUAUUCACCACCUGGGUUAUGAGACCAGGUUAUCCUCGUAGAAAACAAAUAAAACUCAAUUUCUAAUAAACUCAAUAUUGAAGGAAGAAAUUGAAAAAAAAUCAUGUAAAAACAAAAUAUUCAUCAAUCGAAAAUACGCUAUCAAAUUUUUCAAUCUUGUAUAUUUGAUCUUUCUCAACCAGGCUUUGACAAAAUUCCAGACGUUGUGACAUAUUCUUCUUAGUGAUAUGUUUUUUAUUUUCUCUCAAUUUUUUUUAUUUUUUGUAUUUUCUCUUUUCUUUUUUAUCUGAUUUUUUUAAAUUUAUAUGAGACCCCAAAAUGAAUAACAAUAGCUGAGCAUGAGAGGUUUUCGUGUCGGGUUGAAUGGGAAAACUAUGGAGAUGGAUUUGUGUUUUUUGUGUAAAAGAAGCUCUGUAUUGGAUGAAUAGGAGCUCUGUUUUUGGUUCCUCCUCUUUGAUGAAGGCUCCCCAUUUCUUGCCUUUGUUCGUCUCUUUUUAUUGUAGAGCAAAGGUGGUUGGAAUUAACGUAGUUUAGCAUAAUUUCUAGGACUUGAUUCUUGGAGACUUGAUUCAAGAUGUGGGCUGCAAUUAUGAGAUUGCAAUCUCUGGCUUAAUUGCUUGGGAUUGCAAUGAAAAAUCUAAAAUUAAUUGUUGGAUUUUGGGGUUUAAUUGGACUAAAAAUGAAUCAAUUAAAAAUAAUUUGAUUCAAAUUGAGUUAACAUGGGACUAAAUUGAAUCAAACUAAUUCAAUUAGACUGGUAUGAUUGAAAUGAAUUGAAAUAAAAAUCCAACAAACAUUCUUUAUUCUCAUUAUAGUCUUUGGAUUUUGAAUUAUUUCAAUUUGCUUUAAAUCACCUUUUUCUUUCUAAUUGUAUCUCCAAUUAAAUUAAUUUAGACAUGCAAAUCCAUCAUUGGCUCCUAAAAUUAAGCAAUUUUAAUCAAUUUAACUCUCAAUUUUGAUAUUCUUCUUCUUCAAUUAAUCCCUUCAUCGAUUUAUAACUUGGCUAUUUGUUUAAAAAUCAUCCUUAAACAUAAAAUUUCAUCAGCUCUUAACCAAAUUAAAUCAAAUUAAGCCAUUUUAUUCUUUAAUUCAAACCUUGUUUUUGCCUAUGAUGCUUAAUUGUCGGUCCAAAUUCAAAUCCUAGCUAUUUUUUUAUAUUUUUAAAAAAAUUUCUUUAUUUUUGCAUUUUGUAUUUUUUAUGAUUUUCAAGAUGUUUUGACACAAAAUUACAUAAAAAGGAAGAAAAUAAUAAAAUGAUUAAAAUAGCUAAAAUUAUUGAAAAUAUGUAUUUUUUGGAUUUUUCUAAUUUUUUUCAAAAUAUAUACAAAAAAUGAGGGUCAUAUUAGGUUUCAACAUUGGGCAUUGAGAUGGAAAAAAAAAAAAGAACUAGAGUGCAAUAUUAAUAAAAGGCAUGAAGAGAUAAAUAAAAACUAUUUAAUGGAUACAGAAAAAGCCUUCAUGCUAGAAAAGAGAAUCGAACUUCAACAUAUUACUUUUCUUAGCAAAAAAAAAGCAAAAACAAAAGUUAGAAAAAGUUGCUUUUAAAAAGAAGAAACUUAAUGAUGAGAAAAUGCAUUCCAAGUACUUAUGUACUAGAUAUUCCACAUUAUAAAAAAAAAGUUAUGGCCCUCAAGAAAUUGACGACUUUUCUUCUCCUGUUUUAUUCAUAGAAACGUCUUCUGAACGUUGUCUUUCUAAUUUUUUUUUUUAGAGUUCAAGGAAAUUCAAGUGGUUCAAAGAGAACAGUUCCCAUCAUUCUCUAUAGUCAUAGACCAAUCAUCUUCGUAAUGGUAAGACAAAAGUCAUCAUCACUGAUCAAUUGAGAAACAUUUUGGUAUUCCUGUGGGAUUUAUUAUAGCUGGUCAAGCUUGGAGGGUGGAAAGAAACAUCCUAACUCUUAAUUUUACAAAUACUUGAGUUACAAAAAUAUGAGUGCAUGGCUCUAAAGGCCACCGGUAAAUAGAAUUUCUUGUUGAAUUUGUGGAAAAUGAUUUGGACACUGAGUUUACUGGUACUCUUCUCUGUCACAAUCAGUGAUUUUUUCUUGAAAUAUAGUUAAUCCUAGCUAGUUCAAUCAAAUAAAGAUCAGACCGCUCUCUCUCUCUCAUUCUCUACUUCCAUUAUUGAGCUCAAACUCUUGGCACCUAAAUAUGUAAUACAAGGGGAAAGCAUGAUUCCUCAUAUUGUGUCUCUAAUUUUUUUUCCUGCUAUUCUAGUGCUUGAAAUUGCAACUGUAUCAGCACUUACAGCAAGGCCUAAGUGUACAGAAAUUUAUGGAAGCAUUAGCAUUGCUUUUCCAUCUGAAAAAGGAAACAAUUGCUUCAUGAAUAGUUAAAUGGUUGUCAGUUUUUGGCAACAAAUCAACCUUGACCAAUUCAAUGAUCUCAAUCAUGGCCAGGAUUAUUUUUUUAAAAACCAAAAAUCAAGAAAAAUACUUUUCAGGAAUUUUAGUUUUGAUAUUUGAUGAUGUCCCAAAAUAUUAAAAUAGCUUAAAAAUAAGGUUUUUGUGUUGAAUAAUUGGUUAAUCACUUGGUUCUAAAUAAUUUAAUUCAUUCUCCCUAACCAAUAUGACUGGUAGCUGGUAGCUGAUACUUGAUAAGCCAAUAUAAAUAAUAGAAAAUACACAUAAAAAAUCUUUUUUAUGAAUAUAAAAACUCUCAGAUUCUAAAUAAAUAUUUUCUUACAAGAGCCAAAGAGGCUAAAGAGUCAUAAUUAAGGCCAUAGGGUACAUCCAAUAUAAUAAUUCCUAAUAAAUCUGGUUCCAUCACUAUUAGAAAACUCAAAGGACUAAACUAAUAUAAUAAACUCAAAAGCAUUAAAUUUAACUCUCUAAAACUUUUUGUUCUUGUUCAGUUCUUUUACGAUCAGAAAAGAAAAAAAACAUCUUUUGUGAAGCUGAAGAAAUUAAAGCACCCUUUGUUAUUUUAAGAAUAAAAAAAUAUUUUUUCUUUUGCUUGGAAGCUGAGCGAAAGAAAGUGAAGGGAAAUUGAUCAUUCUUUUAAGCACACCAAAGCUGUGGAAGAAGAAUAUCAUCUAGUUUUCUUCCUUCAAUUUUUCAAAGUAGACUAAAUGACAAAAAAUUACAAAUUUUUAUUCUACUAUAUAUUCUCAUUAAUGUAAAACAAUAAAAAUAAACCCUUAUUUUUGCAAAUGGUUGAUUGAAUAAUAAUGAAUAGAGCCAAAAUGUAAUAAUUUUCUUAAUUGUAAAAAUUUAGAUCUAACCUAGUUUAAUUAAGUUUCGGUUAAUUAGUUUAUUAAGUUAAAUCAAAUCAAUUUUAAAUCACUGUAAUUUUUUUUUAAAUAACAUUGUUUUCAUAAAAAGUUAAAAAAUAAAUUUCAUAAUUGAUUUAAUCUAAAUUAGGAGUUAACCCAUUAAAUCACCUGCGUUUAACAAAUUUAAUUACAAAUCUCAUACGGGCAAAAUUCUAGCUCAACAAAACACCAUGUCAACCUGCCAUACCAUGUUUACUAUCUAUGGGUCACGCUCUUCACGUUUAGGAAAAAAGAAUUAUUUCACUGGGUUCGAAGUUUUAAACUCAUUAGAAUGCAACUAUUCGUGGCUUAGAAGUAUCAGAUGCUUUUCUUAUGAAUACGAAAGUAUCAGAUGCUUUUCUUAUGAAUACGAAAGUAUCAAAUGGUUGAUCGAAGACUUAAAGUCAAUGUGGACCUCUUAAUGUUAGUCGCUAAUAUUGGGUUGACUAGGAGACCACGAAAGUGCAAAGAAAUGUCUUCAAUAUUUCCCUUCCUCUUUAAAGCUGGAUGUUUGAACUCGAAAUCAAAUUAUAUCUCGGAAAAAAAACCACAAGAAUGGAGAAAAUGGUUUCGAAAUUGGUGUUUAAAAUGACUUUGCUGAUGUUAAUGUUUCAGUUAGCGAAAGCAGCAGCACCUGUAGCGAAGUUUGGUUGUCCAGAUCGAUGCGGAGACAUUACCAUUCCUUACCCUUUUGGAACUGGAAAAGACUGCUACAAGGACGAAUGGUUCGCGGUUGAAUGCAACAAAACCACC
rnacentral:lncRNA from 1 species